ACGACCGUAGCUCAGUUGGUUAGAGCACCACCUUGACAUGGUGGGGGUCGGUGGUUCGAGUCCACUCGGUCGUACCA
rnacentral:tRNA from 73 species